UUUUAAUUUGGCAGAUUAAUGCGGUUGACUUAGAAUCAAUAUAUAACUUUUUGUUAAUUUCAAAA
rnacentral:tRNA from 1 species